UAAGGAACUUUGAACAGCUACAAAAUAAAAGAACAGCGCCAGAUUCUCACUAUAUUACCUUAAUCAUAGGUGAUGCAGAUAAUCAAGUGGUUUUUAAGCACAGAGUUAUGGAUUCUGCUUUGCUCAAAACUGGAAGUUGGACUAAAAAAAUUGAUGUGAAGAGAGCUCUUAUAUCUGAAGAUCUUAGCAUAAAUCUAAUUAGUUCUGAUUUUGUUGGACUUGAUAUUCAGCAGAAAUUUACAGUCUUUUACUUAGGACCCAAGAGGUUUGGAAAUCAAAUAAUUAUACAAAGAAAAUCAGAAAUGGAGAUUUCCCAUUCUAAAUAUUCAGCUAGAUCUACUGUAGCAGGCCCCAAUAAAGGUAAAUAGCUCUAGUCAGAUUAUGGAUAC
rnacentral:lncRNA from 1 species